ensembl:rRNA 5S_rRNA 5S ribosomal RNA
GUGUACGGCCAUACCACCCUGAAUGUGCCUGAUCUCAUCUGAUCUCGGAAGCUAAGCAGUGUCGGGGCUGGUUAGUACUUGGAUGGGAGAACUGAGACAGUGAUUCCACAGAUCUACUCC